rnacentral:rRNA from 1 species
CCUACGGGAGGCAGCAGUAGGGAAUAUUGCGCAAUGGGCGAAAGCCUGACGCAGCAACGCCGCGUGAACGAGACGCCCUUUGGGGUGUAAAGUUCUGUUAGUGGGGACGAAAAAUGACGGUACCCACAGAGGAAGCCCCGGCUAACUCCGUGCCAGCAGCCGGGGUACUACGGAGGGUGCAAGCGUUGUCCGGAAUCACUGGGCGUAAAGAGUUCGUAGGCGGGAUGGAAAGUCAGGUGGUAAAGGCGCAGGCUCAACCUGUGUAGGGCCCUUGAUACUUGUAAGCUGGAAUGAGGUAGAGGUAAGGGGAAUGCCUGGUGUAGCGGUGAAAUGCAUAGAUAUCAGGAGGAACAUCGGUGGCGUAGGCGCCUUACUGGGCCGUAAUUGACGCUGAGGAACGAAAGCGAGGGGAGCAAAUGGGAUUAGAUACCCUAGUAGUC